GGUGAGAUGGCCGAGUGGUUAUGGCGCCGUGUUCAGGAACACCUUUCGUUAGGAUCGUGAACAAUUCGCGGUGGAGCAAUCCGCGUGGGUUCGAGUCCCACUCUCAUCA